UACGGAAGGCAGCAGUGGGGAAUAUUGGACAAUGGGCGCAAGCCUGAUCCAGCAAUGCCGCGUGUGUGAAGAAGGCCCUCGGGUUGUAAAGCACUUUUAUCAGGAGCGAAAUCUGCAAGGUUAAUACCUUUGUAGUCUGACGGUACCUGAGGAAUAAGCACCGGCUAACUCCGUGCCAGCAGCCGCGGUAAUACGGAGGGUGCAAGCGUUAAUCGGAAUUACUGGGCGUAAAGCGUGCGUAGGCGGUUCGUUAAGUCUGCUGUGAAAGCCCCGGGCUCAACCUGGGAAUGGCAGUGGAUACUGGCGAGCUAGAGUGUGUCAGAGGAUGGUGGAAUUCCCGGUGUAGCGGUGAAAUGCGUAGAGAUCGGGAGGAACAUCAGUGGCGAAGGGCGGCCAUCUGGGACACACUGACGCUGAGGCACGAAAGCGUGGGGAGCAAAC
rnacentral:rRNA from 1 species